AAGAAUAUGCAGGAGAGAGAAGGAGAGCUGCCAUGUGCUAAAGGGCCAAGAGAACGUGGCCCAGAGGGCUGCUCAGUUGGGUCAAGAGCAGCCAAGAUGGAACAUAGAAACUAUUGCCUUGCUGAAGUGCCCGCUCUGAAUGAAGAAGAACUGGGUCCUGCAGUCUGUCCACAGGAAGAAGACUGUAUGUGAGCACAGUCUCCAUGUUCACUGUGCCUCAUGCCGUCCCUGAUAUCAUGGAGGAAAUGAAUGGUCAUUUAAGAAUCCUCAUUGGCUAAAGAGCUGGUGGUUUAAAUGAAUGCAUCUAAUUGCAAACUGUGAAGGGCUGGUCCUGGUAUUAAGAAGAUGGACGAUUCUGUGAAGGGAAUGUGCUAAGAUUUGUUUGUUGAAAAUGGAAUUAUUAAUGGCUUGUCAGUAAAGUUAAGAAUGCCUUAAAUCAUUCCUCUCUUACUCUAUUCAUAGAAGAAAUAAAACAGAUGAAUUUAUAAAGGG
ensembl:lincRNA Gm5547 predicted gene 5547